GACAGGUUUUGGUAAAUCUCCCCCCAUGGCUCUGCCAAACAGCUGUAGGGCAGGGGUGAGGUGCCUGGUGUUGGUCCACCACCAACAACACAUUAAUAGCCAGUCCUGAGGAUGGACCAUAAAUGGAAAAGUCCCAGAAAACUUCUUAAUCUAAAUUCCUCUGGUGUGCGCACUCUCCGGGACUUAGAGAAAAUCACGGUCACAUACUUCUGAUGCGAAUAUCUUCUAGCUCCAUGUGUUUUGGUCACAUCUAUAUUCAAUAGUUCUCAUCAGAUGAUAUUUCCAUAGCUGAUGGCCACUGUCUCCCUAUUAAAGGGAGAAGGAAAAAACCUCUGAAGAUUACAUCAGGGCAUUCGCGUCACACACCGCUCAUCAUCCACACUUUGUAACAAAUUCUAAUAGAAGAAGUGACUCAGACAAGG